AUGGAUCUUUUGUGUUGUCGUAGAUUUCGCCAAUCCAUCAGCGUUCAUCCAGUUCUUGGCGGGCUGGAAGUGGAAGGCGGUCUUGUACAUGGUGCUGACAGCAGGAGACGGGUCCUGGUCCUUGGGAGCCUGCGCGCAGAGGAACAAGGAUCUGCCCCCAUCGCCGCCGCAGAGGGGGUUGGAUAUAUAGCUGGGGAAGAAGAGGCUGGUUACGUAGGAGCCGAGGACGAGGACCGGGAGGAGGAAGGCCCAAGCUUGGGCCAUGGCGGCAGAUGUGGGGGGAGAGAGGAGAGGAGAGGGAGUGAGGUAGGAGGCGAUAAGAAGGGAGAGGGGGUGAUGUGA
rnacentral:rRNA from 1 species